rfam:Felis catus isolate Cinnamon breed Abyssinian chromosome C2, whole genome shotgun sequence.
GCCUGGGUGGCUCAGUCGGUUGAGCAUCCAGCUUCGGCUCAGGUCGUGAUCUCCCAGUUUGUGGGUUCGAGCCCCACAUCAGGCU